UGUAAGCGUAUACCAAAGUUGUUGCAGUUAAAACGCUCGUAGUCGGAAUUUGGCAGUUCCGGAUGUGUGCACGUCGUGUGCGCACUUCGCGGGGAUUGCUUUUGUGGUCUUGCGUAGGAUGAGGCACUUUUAUUAGUGAACGUCCUCACGCAACCACUUUUUACUGUGAGAAAAUCAGAGUGCUCAAAGCAGGCAUUUGCCGUGAAUGUAUUAGCAUGGAAUAAUAGAAUAGGACUUGGUUCUAUUUUGUUGGUUUGUUGGGACUGAAUAAUGAUUAAGAGGGACAGUUGGGGGCAUUUGUAUUUCGGUGCUAGAGGUGAAAUUCUUAGAUUACCGAAAGACAAACUGCUGCGAAAGCGUCUGCCAAGGAUGUUUUCAUUGA
rnacentral:rRNA from 1 species